CGCCUCUUGAAUAAAAAUAAGAGGUCCAGCCUGCCCAGUGACUAAUAUUCAACGGCCGCGGUAUCCUAACCGUGCGAAGGUAGCGCAAUCACUUGUUCUUUAAAUGGGGACUAGUAUGAAUGGCAUCACGAGGGUUAUACUGUCUCCUUUUUCUAAUCAGUGAAUCUAAUCUCCCCGUGAAGAAACGGGGAUACACCUACAAGACGAGAAGACCCUAUGGAGCUUUAAAUACCUCUUCAAACGUUGGACCUCCUCCCCAGUUUUAAACUCACCUAUAUUAACCCCGUACGCUAUGAAGACAACUUUAGGUUGGGGUGACCGCGGAGUACAACAUAACCUCCACGCUGAAUCAGACUCUUUAAGCCUGAGCCAAGAGCCACUGCUCAAAGCACUAAUAAAUUAACAUUUAUUGACCCAAAACAUUUGAUCAACGAACCAAGUUACCCUAGGGAUAACAGCGCAAUCCAUUUCAAGAGUCCAUAUCGACAAAUGGGUUUACGACCUCGAUGUUGGAUCAGGGUAUCCCAGUGGUGCAGCCGCUACUAAUGGUUCGUUUGUUCAACGAUUAAAACCC
rnacentral:rRNA from 1 species